UUUAAUGAUUUUCUUCAUGUGUUCAUCAUUCUUACUAAUUUUGCAUAUAAAUAAAUAAUAUUGGGUCUGCAUUGGUUUUAAUGAGUAAUCUCUUUACACGUCACAUUUUUAACCCUUCAAGGCGAGGAAGGAAUCCUUAAAGAGCUGCAGCUAGCUGGAUUUCAUGGGUUUUGGCGAUCCAGUACUCUCCUCAAAUACAAUUUCAAGAAUAGGUUGAUGGUGCAAAAGCAGUAGAUGAAAGGCUUCGGGGUGGGCUUAUGAGUGGAGCCCUUGAACGUAAGGGCUCAAGCAACCCAAACAUGUAUACGAAGAAAGGAGUGCAUAGGCAGCCGGAUGCCAAAGCUUUCAAUUUGAUCGGUUCAAAGCCACUGGGACUAAUUAGGUAGAGUUC